rnacentral:rRNA from 1 species
UACGGGAGGCAGCAGUGGGGAAUAUUGCACAAUGGGCGCAAGCCUGAUGCAGCAACGCCGCGUGAGGGACGAAGGCCUUCGGGUUGUAAACCUCUUUUAGUAGGGAAGAAGCGACUGGGUUUUCCUGGGAGUGACGGUACCUGCAGAAAAAGCACCGGCUAACUACGUGCCAGCAGCCGCGGUAAUACGUAGGGUGCAAGCGUUGUCCGGAAUUAUUGGGCGUAAAGAGCUCGUAGGCGGUUUGUCGCGUCUGCUGUGAAAACCCGAGGCUCAACCUCGGGCCUGCAGUGGGUACGGGCAGACUAGAGUGCGGUAGGGGAGAUUGGAAUUCCUGGUGUAGCGGUGGAAUGCGCAGAUAUCAGGAGGAACACCAAUGGCGAAGGCAGAUCUCUGGGCCGUAACUGACGCUGAGGAGCGAAAGCAUGGGGAGCGAACAGGAUUAGAUACCCUGGUAGUCCAUGCCGUAAACGUUGGGAACUAGAUGUGGGGACCAUUCCACGGUCUCCGUGUCGCAGCUAACGCAAUCCAUAUG